AUGAAAUUCCACUGUGGUGAAGGACGCCCCAAGGAGGUCGGAAUCGUGGGUAAAUAUGGGGCCCGUUAGGGUGCCUCCCUCAGGAAAACGGUGACGAAGACUGAAAUGAGCCAGCACGCCAAGUACACUUGCUCCUUCUGUGGCAAAACCACAAUGAGAAGAUGAGCUGUGGGGAUCUGGCACUGUUGUUCCUGCCUGGAAACCGUCAACGGUGGCGCCUGGACCUGCCACACCACUUCUGCCGUCCCGGUAAAGUCCGCCGUCGGACGACUGAAGGAGUUGAAAGGCCAGCAGAAGCUCCGCCAUUUGAAACAUUGCUAGCCUAGAAUAAAUGGGUUGAUUUAUGUAACAAAAUUACCUUGGCUUGUUAGAUUUAUGACUUAGAUGUUCCAAUUUGCGUUGCAUUAAUUUUGCUUUCUCAAAAAGACUUGGAAAUUAAAAAUCUUAUUUUUUAUGGGGCUAGGGGAGGAAACAAGUUGUUGCUUAGAAUGCACUAAUAAGAACAGUUCGCCUGCCUUCCUGUAACUUCCAAAGGAAGGCAGUGGCCCCAUGGAGGAUGGUGCUAGGAUGCCCUCUCUGCACCAGCAGCUUUGGGAGCUGCACGUCACCUUUGACACUCCAUGCUUUCCAAAGUGCUUAUGCAAUUAUGACUACUUGCUGUUCUAACAAGUGUAUUUGGAUUGUAAUUUGAGACUUCCUGCACAUCAUUUUGUUAAAAAUGUAUUAGACUUCUAGUUUCUAGUUCUGUGCAUGAGGAGCUUAGAAAUCAACUCUGUCCUAACAAUAAGUAAACAGCUGAAGAGACUGAAGAAUCAACAACUCUUAAAUCCAUGAGGGAAGACACAGUGCCCCCAAGAUGGGAGAGCCAGGUGAAUGCGGGGAUACACUGCUUACCAGAGACUCAGAGCAAAAGUCAUUCAGGAGUGCUGGCAUAGGGAAACCUGAACUUCAAUUGGCCAUUGCUGGAGGCUCAGUGCAGAUAACUCUGAGAGAAUUAGAAUGUUCUGAGGGACUGUGGUAUGGGGUGGGGGGCUCACAGUAUUUUGAAGUUUGCCUCCAGGAGCUUGACACGAUUGGCACAGUAAAUAUCAGAAAGAAAAUAUGUUGUCUACAAGAAACUCACUUUAAAUAUAAAGACACAUGGGGCACCUGGGCGGCUCAGCCGGUUAAGCAUCAGACUCUUGAUAUUGGCUUAGGGCACGAUCUUAGGGUCCUGGGAUCCAGCACCCCCAUCAGCUCUGGGCUCAGCGGGGAGUCUGCUUGUCUCCCUCUCUCUCUCUGCCCCUUCCCCCUGCUUGCGCCCAUGCACGCUCGCACACUCGCUCUCUCUCUCUAAAAUAAAUCUUAAAAAAAAAAAGACCUCUACAAUAAAAGUAAAUGGUUAAAGACAUGCCGUGCUAACACUAAAAACAAGCAAGCGUAGCUCUAUUAAUUUCAGACAGAGCAGACCUCAAAGUAAGGGAAGUGAUCAGGGAUAUAGAAGGACACCACAUGAUGAUAAAGAAGUCAGCUCUCCAAGAAGACAUAACAAUCCUUUAUGUGUAUGCACCCAACAACAGAACAUCAAACUGUGUGAGACAAAACCCAACAGAACUGCAAGGAGAAAUGGAUGAGUUCACUAUCAUGGUAGGGGACCUCAAGACCUUUCAGAAAUGGACCUAUCCAGCAAGCGGAGAGCCAGUAAGGACAUGAUGGAAUGCAGCACCACCAUCAAUCAACUGGAUAUAAUUGACAUCUAUAGACUACAUCAUCUAAUAGUAAAGUACACAUGUUCCCCUGCCCUCUCAAGCUCCUGUAGAACAUUCACCAAGGUAGACCACAUUCUGGGCCAUAACACUUGAAUAAAUUUGAAAGAAUAGAAAUCAUGCAAUGUCUGCUUUUAUUUUUUUAAGAUUUUAUUUAUUUAUUUGACAGAGACACAGCGAGAGAGGGGGAACACAAGCAGGGCGAGUGGGAGAGGGAGAAGCAGGGAGCCCAAUGUGGGACUCGAUCUCAGGACCCUGGGAUCAUGACCUGAGCCGAAGGCAGACACUUAGUGACUGAGCUACCCAGACACCCCAAUGUCUGCUUUUAGACCACAAUGGAAAUAAACUAGAAAUCAAUAACAAAGAUAACUGAAAAAUCCUCAAAUAUAUGGAGAUUAAACAACACACUUCUAAAUAUAGAUGGGUCAAAGAAGAAAUUUCAAAGGAAAUUUUAAAAUAUUUUGAAAUAAUGAAAAUUAAACACAACUUACCAAGAGUUGUGAGAUGCAACAAAAGCACUGCUUAGAAUGCAUAACUUAAAAAGAGUGAUCUAAAAUUAGUAAUCUAAGUUACCACCUUAGGAAACUUGGGGAAAAAAGAGCAAAUUAAAUCCAAAGUAAGCAGAAGAAAAGAAAUAAUGGAAUUAAAGCAGAAAUUAGUGAAAUCAAAAACAGGAAAUCAACAGAGAAAAAUUAAUGAAGCCAAAAGCUAGUUCUUUGAGAAGAUCAAUAAAAUUGAUAAGCCCCCAGCCAGGCUAGCUAAAAAAGAGAGCAGAUACUAAUUCUUAGUAUUAGCAAUGAAAGAAGGAACUUCAUUACAAAUUCCAUGGAAGUUAAAAGGUUAAUAUUAUAAACAAUUCUGUGCCCACAUAUUUGAUAACCUAAUGAAAUGGACCAAUUCCUUGAAAGACACAAACUGUCAAAACUCAUACAAGAACUUGAUGAUCUGAAUAGGCCAAAUCUGUUGAAGAAAUUAAGCCAGUAAUUAAUAACCUUCCAAAACAAAGUACCAGGCCUAUAUGGCUUCACUGGUGAAUUCUACCAAACAUUUAAGGAAGAAAUUAUACUAACUCUCUACAGUCUCUUUCAGAAGGUAGAAGCAGAGGGAAUACCUCCUGACUCAUUCUGUGAAGCCAGCAUUACCUUAAUACCAAAACCAGAUAAAAGACAUUACAAGAAAAGAAAACUACAGACCAGUAUGUCUCAUGAACAUAGAUGUAAAAAUUCCCAACAAAUUACUAGUAAAUCAAAUUUAAAAAGUAUAAAAAGAAUUAUAUGCCACACCAAGUGAGCUUUAUCCCAGGUAAGCAAGGCUGGUGGUUCGACAUUAGAAAAUCUGUUAAUGGGGCACCUGGGUGGCUCAGUCGUUACGUGUCUGCCUUCGGCUCAGGUCAUCAUCCCAGGGUCCUGGGAUCGAGCCCCACAUCGGGCUCCCUGCUCAGCGGGAAGCCUGUUUCACCCUCUCCUACUCCUGCUGCUUCUGUUCCCUCUCUCGCUGUGUCUCUCUCUGUCAAAUAAAUAAAUAAAAUAUUAAAAAAAAAAAAAUCUGUUAGUGUAAUCUAUCACAUCAACAGCCUAAAAAGGAAAAAUCACAUGAUCAUAUCAGUAAAUGCAGAAAAAACAUUUGAGAGAAUCCAAAACCCUUUCAUGAUAAAAACUCUCAGUAAAUUAGGAAGAGAAGGGAACUUCCUCAACUUGGUAAAGAAUAUCUACAAUAAGCCUGCAGCUAACAUCAUACUUAAUGAUGAAAAACUUGAAGUUUUCUUGCCAAGAUCAGGUGUAGGGCAGUGAUGUGCCCCCUCUCACCACUCCUUUCCAACAUCAUACUGGAAAUUCCUGCUAAUGCAAUGAGACAAGAAAAGGAAAUAAAAGGUGUACAGUUGGAAGACCUAAAACUGUUUUUGUUUACAGAUGACAUCAUCAUUUAUGUGGAAAAUCUAAAAUAAUUGACAGAAAAACUAACAAUUGACAGAAUUCAUAAGUGAUUAUAGCAAGGUUGCAGUAUACAAGGUUAAUACAUAAAAGUCAUUGCUUGGGGUGCCUGGGUAGCUCAGUCAGUUAAGUGUCUGCCUUUGGCUCAGGUCAUGAUCCCAGAGUCCUGGGAUCGAGCCCUGCAUCAGGCUCCCUGCUGAGCCUGCUUCUCACUCUCUUCCCUGCUCGUGCUCUAUCUCUGUUACUCAAAUAAAAUCUUUUUUUUUUUUUUUUUUUUAAGUCAUUGCUUUCCUGUAUACUAACAAUGAGCAAGUAGAAUUUGAAAUUAAGAGCACAAUAUUGGGAGUGCCUGGCUGGCUCAGUCAGUAGAGCAUGUGACUCUUGAUCUCAAGGUUGUGAGUUCAAGCCCCAUGUAGGGUGUGGAGCCUACUUAAAAAAAUAAAUAAAAACACAAUAUCAUUUACAAUUGUACCCCGAAAAAGGAACAAAAUAUUUAUUAGUAUAAUUCUAAUAAAGUGUGUACAUAAUCUAUAUGAGGAAAACCACAAAACUCUGAUGGACAACAUCGAAGAACUAAAUAAAGGGAGAGACAUUCCGUAUUUGUGGAUAUGAAGACUCAAUAUUGUGAAGAUGUCAGUUCUUUCCAACUUGAUACAUAGAUUCAAGGCAAUCCCAGUCAGAGUUCCAACAAGUUACUUUAUGGAUAUUGAUACACUGACGCUUAACGACUGAGCCACCCAGGCGCCCCAGCCAUUCUCAUUUUUUAUGGAUCGAUUUUCUUACCACCUUUUAGAGGCAGUCUUCUUCCAGGGUUUCAGGAAAACCUUUAUUUGUCCCUUGUACCAAAUACAUUAAUAUAUUUAAGAACUAGGUCCUAUUUUUUACACAUAUUUCAAGGUAUCAUGAAGUGAAUGGUUCUUAUUAGAGAUUACCUUUGUGCUCUGAAAGAAAUAGCUCUUUGGAAAAAUAUGGUUUUAAAAAUGCCUUAAAGUGUGUAUGUUUUUUUUUUUUUUUAAGUGUGUAUAUGUGCAUGUGUAAAGUUAUAGUUUUAUAGCAAAAGCUUCUUGGAAAAUCUUUUCUGUAGAUACUUUAGAAUUUAUUGGGCGUUUGCUCACAGUCAGGCAUUGUGUUAAACUCUUUAAAUAGUGCAUUUAACCCAGACACCAUUUUCUGCUCGACACUAUG